rnacentral:lncRNA from 10 species
GCUUUUGGUUGUCUUUUCCAGUGACAUUUAUACCUUUGGCUUACUUUUUGUCACACUGCCUCUUUCUUGUCAAUUUGCAUGAGCUGUUUCUAUUUUUGUCAUGUUGCAUGUUGUCUCACUGACCUAGUCUUGGGAGUCACUCUUCGUUAUUUCUGCAACGUCCUUCCAGUUACACCAGCGAGGCUUACUUAGUGUGGGAGGGACGCGAGCUCCAAGGAUCAGGGACUGUGAGGCUGUCUGUGAGGCUGGCUACCACGGAAGUUGCAAAUAGGGAUGAUUUUCCUACUUUUGUUCCUUAUCUUCUGACCUUUAACAGGUCAUUUUCUACAGAUCUGUCAGUCUUUUUAUUUGUACUUUUUAAAUUGGUAUUUUGCUAAGGAAGGCCUUCUUUACCUCAAGAUUGUAAAAAUUCUGGGGAAUCUUUGAGAACAAGCAUCCGAGAGUCAUUUUUCUGAUCUUUCUUCAUUUGCACUGGAGUGGCGAUGCCAGGCUCUCAGAGGGUGUCCCAUGCACGAUUUCUCCUCACCCUCGGAACAAACCUAGCAGACACCAUAGCACCUGGCAUGACGGCUGACUCCUUCUCCCAGAACUAACUAUGGGAAAGCCACAGAUGGAAGAGGGAAGUGUGGACGUGAGGAGCAUGAGCGCCUAGAGAAGCCAGGGAGCGGCAGGACCGCCAUGAGUCGCCUUCAGCAGUAAAG